UCUCAACAAAGGCAAACCAUGCGUGAGCAUGGGACGCAAAGUGACAGCACACCAAGGAGUAUGCCAAGGAGGCAGGGGGGUGUGGCUGCGCCGCUGAG
rnacentral:ncRNA from 1 species